rfam:Clostridium ultunense Esp genomic scaffold, CTLT_3033
GGCCCGUUGGUCAAGUGGUUAAGACACCGCCCUUUCACGGCGGUAACAGGGGUUCGAAUCCCCUACGGGUCA